rnacentral:rRNA from 1 species
UUGGGUGACUAUAGCAGCGGGGUUCACCUCUUCCCAUUCCGAACAGAGAAGUUAAAACCGCUCGCGCAGAUGGUACUGCCCAAAAAGCGGGAGAGUAUGUGUUGCCCAUC